rnacentral:rRNA from 1 species
UUGAACGCUGGCGGAAUGCUUUACACAUGCAAGUCGGGCGGCAGCGCGGGGGCAACCCUGGCGGCGAGCGGCGAACGGGUGAGUAACAUAUCGGAACGUACCCAGACGUGGGGGACAACUAGUCGAAAGACUAGCUAGUACCGCAUACGUCCUGAGGGAGAAAGCGGGGGAUCGCAAGACCUCGCGCGUUUGGAGCGGCCGAUAUCUGAUUAGCUAGAUGGUGGGGUAAAGGCCCACCAUGGCGACGAUCAGUAGCUGGUCUGAGAGGAUGAUCAGCCACACUGGAACUGAGACACGGUCCAGACUCCUACGGGAGGCAGCAGUGGGGAAUUUUGGACAAUGGGGGAAACCCUGAUCCAGCCAUUCCGCGUGAGUGAAGAAGGCCUUCGGGUUGUAAAGCUCUUUCGGCAGGAACGAAACGGCGGAAUCUAAUACAUUCCACUAAGGACGGUACCUGAAGAAGAAGCACCGGCUAACUACGU